rnacentral:rRNA from 1 species
GACGAACGCUGGCGGCGUGCUUAACACAUGCAAGUCGAACGGAAAGGCCCUGCUUUUGUGGGGUGCUCGAGUGGCGAAUGGGUGAGUAACACGUGAGUAACCUGCCCUUGACUUUGGGAUAACUUCAGGAAACUGGGGCUAAUACCGGAUAGGAGCUCCUGCUGCAUGGUGGGGGUUGGAAAGUUUCGGCGGUUGGGGAUGGACUCGCGGCUUAUCAGCUUGUUGGUGGGGUAGUGGCUUACCAAGGCUUUGACGGGUAGCCGGCCUGAGAGGGUGACCGGCCACAUUGGGACUGAGAUACGGCCCAGACUCCUACGGGAGGCAGCAGUGGGGAAUAUUGCACAAUGGGCGGAAGCCUGAUGCAGCAACGCCGCGUGCGGGAUGACGGCCUUCGGGUUGUAAACCGCUUUCGCCUGUGACGAAGCGUGAGUGACGGUAAUGAGUAAAGAAGCACCGGCUAACUACGUG